GGGGAAUACACUAUGGAUUUCUCAAUUACCCUAUCAUUUACCCAUCUCACUUCACUUUGUCGCGUUAUUUUGCCCUUUGUCUCUCUCUAAAUUUCGUAUCCCUCUCCAUACAACACACAAAUCUACAAUCGAUCGACCUAGCCCUCUUCUACAAGAUCCUUUUGGCGCACGAUUAAGGUUCAAUUCAGGUAAUAAUCCUAUGCAAUCGGUCAACCUAUCCCUUUUAGGUAACGAUUUCGAACAUGAUAUUUUCUUCAAUUUGUAAAUUAUACCUGCUGAAUUUUUUGUACGAGUAUAUGGUUGUAUGAAUCUGCCCUAACAGUUUCCUUCAUCUUGCCAAAUUAGCUCUCUACCUUGUUUGAAUCGUAGUUUUUUUUUCUCUUCAUCUGUCUUUAAUAGUAGAGAAUUUUGAACUUUGUUGUUCAUUAUUUUUAGGGCUUUUUAGAACUUUUUGAACAUUCAGUGUGGGGUAGGAUUUUGAAUUUUGUUCAAAGUGUUGUUGCCUUUAAUUUACUACUGUUUUUAAGGUAAAUAUCUUACUAAUGUGUACUUGUUUCUUUAAUUUACUGAGGGUUUAAAAAUUAUCUUAGUGUUGGUUUUGGCUUCUUAAAUAUUGCAAGCUAGGUGUUUGUUAAAAUAACUUAAAGAAUCAAAAAUCUAGCAUCUUGUCAUUUCUAUGUGCAUAUACUUUUUAGGAUGCAAGUAAGAAAAUCUGCUGUAAUGCCACAAAAUUAAUAAAUUUAUUAUGCUGACAGAUAAAAUGAUGAUGUUCAAUGUCCACUAUAAUUUGGGGCAAUUUUUUUUAACUAUUAGUCUGUAGGAAUAUCUUAAAAUUGAAAUUAUAGCUCCGCAAACUUGCUCCAUAUGAUUCUUGCACUCUAAAACGCUUUUGUAGAGGCCAUGGUGGUAUUUAAAGGCAAUGUAUAUUUGAGGAGCCAAGCCCACAACCUUCUUACAAUAUAAGCCCGGAUGGUCAUCCACAUGAUAGAGAAUAUUACCUCAUAUCCCUUUUUGUUGUUCCUAGGCAUUUUUAUUUGAUAUAGUGCAUGUUGACAGUUGUGAUAUGGUGCAUGUUGAUAGUUGUGAAUGUAUUAAAAUAAUUGACAAAGUUGGAUUGCCUGUUUGAUGCACUAGUAAAGUGUCUUGUCUGCUCUAUUCGAGGAAAUAAAAUCUUCAAUAUAUGUGAAAUAGUCAGAGACUCGGAACAAACAAGAAUCUCCCCUGCAUUUUAGCUGAUAACAGGACUUCUUUUCUUAAAUAGUUAGCUAGCCUUGUUUUCAAGGUCUAUGCGUCCCAUAAUCUUUAGUAUCGUUAUUAAUGUGUGCUUGUUUAUAAAAUUUUUCAACAUUAUAAUAUUGAAGCAAGCGAGCCUACUAAUCUGCAACUUUGACUUAUUGUUUAUACCAUACUCUGUUUUUUCCAAGUCAUUUUGUAAUGAACCAAAGACCGCUGGAAGGAUGUUUUAUGAUCUUGAGCUGUUGAAAAUUGUUCUUUCUGAAGAAGCUUGUUAAUAAUGUUGUUCUAUUGCUUACCUUUAUAAGUUUUGUGGUAUAUCUUUAAAUUAUCUGGUAAUUAGUCACCUUUUUUCAAGCAGAUUAUACCAUGAAUUUUUGAAAUCUUUUUGACAGAGUCGACCGAACCCCAUUGUCAGUUCGUCAUAGCCGCCUCAUUUAUAUUUCUGAUUUUGCUAUAGACAUUUUCAGUGUUAGUUCAACUUAUCUUAAGCAAUCCAAACUAUUCCCCAAUAAGUGUUUGAUUUCUAAUAUCCUAAUAUUUUGUUUCUGUUCAACUGAUUUUGUAGUAGCAGUUGAUAGAUACUUUGAAGGCCCAGUUUGUUGCUUACCAAGUACUUCAUAAGGAGUUAGCAGCGAAGUUGACCAAAUUGACAGAAUUAGUUGAGAAUCAACAGGUACAAAAAGGGCAAGUUAUUGAUGUUGAAGUUUAUGUUUUUAUUUCAAUUUUGUUCAUUAAAAAUUAUUAAUAACACAAAAAUUGGAUAAUAAACUUUAGUUUCCUCUCCAGCUUUUUAAUUAUUUUUUGAAAUUACUAUCCUUUUUUAUUUUCUUAGUCUUGAGGGUGAGUAUAGUUUUUUUUGGAACAAUGAAACUUGGCUUUAAGGCACUUCCUAGCAAUAUCAAGGCACUUUUAGCUGCACAUGAUGAUUCAUCAAGAAUUGACCAGUGGAGCAUUUCAGGCCUUCGGACACCAAAGUAUAAUAUUUCAACUCUAAAAAUGAAGCUUGCAGAAGAUGAUAACUUGGAUGUGAACUAUGCUGAUGAUAUAAUUUUAUUUAAUUGUUGAAAAUAAAAAUUUUAUUUUAAAUAAUAAUUUGUAUGUUAUUUGCAAUACAAAAUAUAAGACUUUUUUUGUUGAAUAGAUCACAAAUGCUAGAGUGACACUUCUUUGUUCUGCAAUUUGUUUAUUUAAAUUUGUUCUUAGUUAAUUUAUGACAUCCUAAAAUUCAAAUUAUAAUGUCAAUUUAUUUAUUGUUUUCAAAUAUUAAUUUUAUUUUUAAAAUACUUCUUAAAUAAUAUAAAUAUCAAUAUCAAUGUAAAAGGUUAAACGAUGUCGUGGGUUAACAGCGGUGUGAUACAAAUUGUUUUUUUCCUCUUUCUUAAAUAGUCCAAAUCUGUCGUUUGCUUUUUUGUUUCAGAUAGAAAGACAAGUUCAUUCUCUUUUUAUUCUUCAAUCGAUCCCACCGCCUAGCUUCGCUCGCCUCUCGUGUCCUCCAUCACAGGUUCAUGUCCCUUUUCUCUCUCCUCUAUCUCAUACAUCUAUCCUCUGAAAUUGAUUUUCAUUUUCUAGGAUAAUUUUUUUCUUUUGCUGCUCUCUUUCAAUUCAGUAAGACAUCUAAUAUCAGUUUAUUUAUUUGUAAUUUUUCACUUGGUUCAUCCAUUUGUGCUCAAUCAAAUCUGAUUUUGGUUAUAUGUGGUGAUUUUGGUGCUCAGUCAAUUUUAAUUUUGGAUAUAUGUGCACCAAAUGUUUGAUGUAUUGUCCAUCUGUUGCACUAGCUUGUACAUUAUAGCUACAAAUUUAAUGUCAGCAUAACCCUCCCAAUUUUAAAUUUAAGUAUAAACUUAAUCCAUUUCAUUUGGAUACUCUGAACCAUGUUUUGGAAUUGAUUUGUCUAAUGUGAACUUUUAUUUGUAAAACUCUAUAUGCCCAAACUUAAUUAUGAAGCAGACGUUUGGUUGACCAUAAAUUUGUAAUUGUUUCAGCUUUUUAAAUGUAAAUAUCUAAUUCUUUGUUAUUAUAUUAUUAAUUAUACAACUUUAACAUUCUUUAACAUUAUAUACACCCGGAGAACUUGAAUGGUGCAUAACAUGUACCUUUUUGUUUAAAUGCCAAAAAGAGGGUAGACACCUAUAUUUUAACAAACUAUGUUUUACUAAUUAAGCUUAAUCUCUAAUUGGAGUUGGGUCCAGUUUACAAUUUAUAAAGUCUUUCGAAAACAAAAGGUGAGGUGACUAAUGUUUUUUUAACAUUUAUAAUUGCAAGCUUCUUAAGUUAAUUAACAUAUGGAUUUUAAUUUUGGAAAGAGGAAUGAGUUUUUGGCAAUAUCCUGUUAGCAAAUUAAUGUGUAUUCAUGCUUUCCUCUUAAAUUUUUCUUUUUAAUUGUUGUUUACUAAUUGAAUUACUAUACAGAAUGAGUUGAGAUUUCAGUUGUUCUGGUCUCCCAUUCAUUGUCUCUCUGUCUCUUGUAAGUUGCGACGUAGAACCAUUUUGUUAGCUCUAUAAAGUUCGUAAGUGAUGUUUCUCAUUUUUCAGGUUGUUGGUUAUUAUAGACUGAGCAGCCUUAAUAGUUCUAUUUUGCUUAGUGUAUGCUCUUUUUUUUGCUACGAUUACGUCUUUAUUCUCAUGUCGAAGUGUACAUUGGAAUGAUGUCAAACACUUUGAUGAGUGAAUAUGCAUUACAUUCAACACAAGUACAUGCAUAAAGUAAAAUAUCCGGCAAUUUUAUUAUUAUGUAGAGAAUAUUUUUGUCAUGAUAGCAACUGCUAAAAUAGAGUAUGCAUGUGCUCUCAUCUCAUCAGCAUCGUAUCAAGCUUUUUUUAUUAUUUAUAAUUCUAGUGACUUUAUAGGUCAGUGUGACAUACCCAUAUUCAACUGUGCUACAACAUAAUCUCACGACUAUAAACACAUGAUGAGUUGAAACUAGAAUAGAAAAUAAUCAAUACCGGGAAAAAUUGUAUGGUUAGCUACAAUCCAAUUUCAGAUCAAAGCUGAUGUGAAUGUGUAUUUCUCUCAAUCAGAUAUAUUCCUUCCUCUCUGCAUUAUGGAACUCUGUUUAUCUCUAUUUUUCUCGAAUUAAUUACUAUUUUUCCCAUCUUUGCACUAGAAGGGAUCAACGAUCUGGUGGGUUGAUGGUUUUUUUUAAAGAUUGUGUAGAAAGUUCAUUAACCCUCUAUUCUAAUGUUUUUAAUUGAUUUGAUGGGUUACUCCCUGCUCAACUUAGCUUUGGGCUUUAUGUUUAUGCCGAGUAGAACGUCAAGUACUCUCAAUUUAUGUUCUUUAUCUUUUACAGAUCUUAUUCUCUACAUGCAUGUUGGGUCGUAGUUCUUUGCAGUUCAUUUAAUUGGAGUGUACCAAUAUUUUUAUUUUUGUAAACUGUGUAGAGGAUUCCUAGUUUGACUUAAACAUGUUUAAGCAUCAACUUUAGUUUAAGCCUUUAAUGUCAUAAUUCCCAACUUUCAAGUGUCUUUUUGCAAGUUACUCAACAUUAAAGCAAUUGAAGUGCACUUAAUUAUUCAUUUACUAUUUAAUUCAUGGUGUUACAGAUGGUUGUGAAAGGGAUUGCUAAAGACUUCACGAAUAAUGAAAAUAUCAACUUCGAGGAAAAUUGGCCCAAUAUACCCUCUCCGGUUUGAGUUUAAGGGUUUUGAUAUUUCAACUUUUUAUUCUAUAAAAUACUUUUUUAGUUUUGAGGUUUUGAGCACAUAAGUUUCUUGGGAUUGUGUUAUAGUACUCUUACUUGCUUACACUUGUUCACCAAUUACCGAAAAUAGAUAGCUGCAUGAUUUAGGAAUUAGACUAUUGAUAAUGAUUAUGCUGACUACGUCUGCUUCUAGAGAUUGAGAACGAGUGUCAAACAAAAGGAAAAAACUUGGAGAUGUUAAAGUUAUUUUGGAACUGCAUUAUUGAUAGUGAUUACACUGGCUACAUCUAAGUUCUGGUGAUAUACUAUGUUCGUUGCAGAACAAUUAGCAAUGCUCAUUACGCAACAAAAGACGCAACGACAGUGAAGUCGUUGCCAAAACCCUUUUGCAACGAAAUUUGGCACCUUUAGCAACAAAAAUUGGUUGUUGCUGAAGUCCCAUUUUUUUGUAGUGCAUUUACUCUAAGACCUCAUUCACGUGUAUUUCAAAAUGGCUAGCCUAUGUUCUUCAUUUUCUUCCAACUCCCAAGCUCAUGAUCAUGAGGGAGUGAUGAUUAUGAUGAGUUCCAACAAUCAAUCUAACAACUCCUCCAUAACCUUCAUGCAAUCCUACAAUCCAUGGGUUUGAUUCAAUGGAAAAUUUCUAUGUCUGUGUAUUGAUUUUUCUAUAAAUAAGAGCUCCUUCCAUUUUUCCAAGUGUUGAGAAUUGCUAAGUGAGAGUUGAGAGCAUACAAGUAAUCUAGAGCUUGAGAGUUCAUUAGGAGCAAGUUCAUUGUAAUUAUAAAGGUAUAAAAUUCCUUCUUAUUCUUCAUUUUCAGUUUCUGUUAAAUUUCCAUUCUUGAAAUUCAAAUUCUUGAUUUUGUGGAAUUGGUUGCUAAUGAGGUUGGGUAAUGUCCAUAUAGUUGUUAUAUGACCAUAUAAGCAUGAUGCAACUGAUAUAUGAUGGUUUAAAAUCGAAAUCAUGAGUAAUUUUUGAGGUUGGGCUGGAGUUCUGCCGAAGCAGACUGCUUCUGCGCCUGAAUCAGGCAUGACGCAGCUACGCCACAUUUGUAUUGAGGCGCAUCGCAACUGCGCCGGUUGCUGAAUUCAGUUGAGCAGUCAAUUUUCAAAUCUGAUCAAUAUUGGCUAGUUGUUUUGACUCAAGCUAGCAUGUAAGCAUGUGUAUGAUGUAUAUAUGGAUACGUUAACCUAAUGUGAGCAUGUUUAGACUAGACUUGCAUGAUUAACGAAGGCGUAUGAUUUACAUGGAGAUUUAGACUAAGUUUUGAAAACAAACUAUGUUAAAUAUCAUGUUCUACAAAUUGUGAACCUAGUAAGCUAUGCAUGACUAAUUUUGCACAUAGAUGAGUAUGUUGUAGUGUAUAUAGUUCUUUUGAGCAUGUUCAAACUUACUAAGCCUUAUGUUAGAAAUAUUUUCAAUAAGAAGCUUAGCCUAGUGAGCUAACAUGCAUGAUUUUUAAAUGGUUUAUAUUUUGACUUUGAAAGCAUGUGAGUAUGACUUGGAAAUGCAUGAAUAAACCUUUAGCUUAUUUUUAUUUGAUUAGUAAGGAAACAUGAGCAUGUUGAACCUAUUAGCAAAGCUUUGAAUGUGAAUAUUGUCAAGAUACCAUGAGGACUAAAAUCUGACAUUUGUGAUCAUGUUUGAUGACACUCUUAGACUCGCUCAUGUAGCAUAACCAUAUAUAUACCAUGUUUGUGUAGCACAUUUCAAGAAAAGCAUGAACGAAGCCUAUUUUCAACUAAAGCGGUGUUAGUUUCAUGUAUGUGUUAUAAAUACACACAAGCAUGCCUAAUAUGAGUUUUUUUUAAAUAUCUUGUAUGUUUAGAAAGCAAGCAUGCUAGACCUUGUGAAUUCAUGACUUUGAAUGGCCUUAAAUUGUUAAAAUGAGCAACUUAGAACCAUGUUAUGAAAGAAGGAACCUAGAUUGACUUAAGGAGCAUGAAAAGACCUUUAACAUGAUAAAUAUAUUAUGUGUUAUUGUUUUGGUUGAGCUGGAGAGAAACCACAAGGCAGCAGCUGAGUCUUGGAAUGACCAUAGGACGACGCAGCUGCGCCGGUCCUAGGCUUAGCCAUGGCGCAACUGCGCCAGUCUGGAAUCCCAGAUAGUGAAUUCUGACUUUUGGACAGCAACUUUCAUGAUGCCUAUGAUGCUAAAUGUGAUCUAAAACCUACUGAUGUAUAUAUAUAUGAGUGAUGCCUAGUUGAUAAUUCGGUGUUGCAUUGAAAUGAAAAGUCCAUGAGUAGGAGGUCUUAACCUUGAGCAUUCUUGAUUUGCUUGUGAAGUAACUAAGUAGUUGAUUCAUGAUGACUUAUAAACUGAUUUUGUACCAUAUGUGCAUACUUGUAUCGUGUCGAGCUUGAUUAAGGACGAUGUUAGCUAAUGAACACUGUAUAUUUAUAAUACGUUAUACUAGGAUUCUAAAGUGUUGAUUUAUUAACGUGGAUAAACUACGCUUAAGGCAAGUUUCUCUAACAUUACUCAAAUUUAUAUUGAGCAAGUAUCCGAACCUUACUCUUAUUGUGCAAGUAUAAUUACAUUCUUUAUUCGACAAAUACCGUAAGCUUAUCCCUUUGAAUACAAGUUAUAUUACUUUCUCGUUCAAAUGAGCUAGUAUUUUAAACCCUUAUGAAAGCUGUUAUUCAUGUUGAACUUGGUAUUGUCCAUUGAAUAUUGUGAAAGAGUCGAUGUCAUUUGAUUCGGCUAGACUAUAUGCAUGUUUAUAAAAAAAAACUGUCCAAACCAAUUAAGUGGUGCGAAAAUCUUGAAAACUAAGUUGAACAACCCCUUUGGUAAAGGGAGUGUAUGUCGUUGGAAACCCCAACACAUGAAUGAAUAUUAUUGUGGUGUUAUGCAUAACGUAUAGUAUUGUAGAUUGAUCAUCUAUAGUACUUGAUAUUUUAAGGUUAUCAGUUUAAUAUUGGUAACUCUAGUGGAAGUUCAAUAGUCCUUAGUGACUGCUCAGUAUAAAUUGUUAUCCAGUUGGAUACCUUGAUAGUCGUUGAAUUCAUAUAUAUUUGUUGAUUUAUAUUGAAUUAUCGUUCUUAUUCAAAGAAUUGUUGAUAUUUCUUACCCAUGAUGUUAUUCUGAUACUUUGAACUAUCCUAGAAAUGGCACUCCGAUAUUUCAAACCUUAUGAUAUUAUAUCCUAUACCCUUGUUGUAUAUUACUUGUUGGACAAUUUGUGCUCAUCCUUGCUUUUAAAAAAACCUUUCAGUUAAGGCAGAACAGGGAAGUGUAUCCGGGCAGGACAAGGGCAAGGGCAAGGCUACCGACUAGCUUGUCCUUUUUAUGUUCAAAGUCUAUUAUGUUGUAUUAAGACUAUUUCAGACUAUGUUUAAGCUUAAGUAGGAUCAUGUAAUAAGUCUUUAUUAGAUAUUAUUAUGUAAUCUAUUAAGCACUGUAGGUUACGAGACUUGGGGGAAUAAUUAUAAUAAAUUAUUGUAUAUUAUUUUAAAGUAGAUUUUUCGUUGUGUAUGCGUUAUUUUAGAUAUUGUGGUUUUACCAUGAGAACGUGAUGAACCGAAUUUGAGGGACCAAGUGGAGGUCCGAAUUUGGGGGUGUCACAGGUUGGUAUCAAAGCUAUAGUUAUAAACUUUAGGAACGAGAGUCCUUAGAUUAUAACUUAAGAAAACUUAGAGGUUAGGAAGGGAUAAAAAUCACGUAGAGUUUUCCCAAAGAGACUUAACGUGUUAUGAAAUGUAACUUCAUUCUAUACAAUGAACUUAUGUUUAUUUAACAUUCUGAUGGAGUUGUUUUUUGUCUUGUCUUAUGUUGGUGAUUGUAGGAUGACUGACAUUGGAGGACCUAGUCGAGUAGUUGAGGAGGAACCGCGUGAUAUCCACGUAGUCUAUGAGACACUCGUGAUAGCGGAGCCUAUAUCGGUAGUUGUCCCUAUUAGUGAUGAUGAUGAGGAGGAGGAGAUGGUACCUCUACCUGAGGAGUCUAAUCCGGAGAAGGAGCCUAUGGAGGAGGAACCCGUGGAGGAACCCGAGCCCAUGGAGGACUCCGACGAGACUACUUUUGAGGAUUGGAUGUUGGGAGUAUGAAGAAUAGAUUUUGGAAUUAGGAUGUAGAGUCGAAGAGCUGGUGUGACGCCCCCAAAUCCGGGUACUUGAAACCCGAACUCGGUGCUUCACGAUACCAUUUCUAUAAGCUGAAUAAUACUAAUAAUAAUAACAAUAAUAUAAAAUUCAAACUUAAUUUACAUAUGCAUCAAAGUUUACUCCCAGGUACGAGACCUUUAAACAUUCAUUACAUCAUAGAUAAUAAGUAUCAUUUUCUUAAUAAACUAUAACUAUUACACAACAUUAUAUAAAUCUCAUUCGAACAACUUUCAUUUCCCCUUGUUCUUGCCUGAACCUUCUGGUUGAUCAUACUUAACUGAAAACAUUUAAAUUUAAAGCAAGAAUGAGCAUUGGAUUGCCCAGCAAGUAAUAACAACAAUAUAUAUUAGCUGAAAGAAUUAAAUAUUUUUUUUGAAAGACACUUCUACAACGAAUCAACAGUUGUGAAGUAAGCUGAACCAAUAAUAACAACAUAUCACUUCCACAUGUAAUCUUUGAAACUACGUAUAAACUAUAAUUGGAGAUCAGUCGACAGACUAUGAACAUUGUUUUUUUUUUAUUUUAGCUAGGGUUUAGCAGAACUUCAUCCGUAAACCGUCAUAACUUACGGACACGAGGGUGAUCUGCCCAAUGUGCCAUGUAUUGAUCAAUACUACAUGCAAGAACGAUAUCAUCGUUCACUCUAUCCACCUUAGGUGCACAAAAAUUUUUCCAUAUUCGGGAUGUUCAUACUUAGUUGGGAAUCCGAACCAAAAUAAUCUGGUUGGAUACAAUAACGUUCUAUCUUGUUCAACAAUAUUUUUAUGUCUAGCUGAAUCAAAUAGCUUAGACGGCUUUUAAGUCAACGUAUACAUACUUGAAAUCAAUAAGUAUGUAUCAAC
rnacentral:lncRNA from 1 species